rnacentral:lncRNA from 1 species
GAUAACAUCCUCAUCGUCGAGUAGUUUCCAUCUAAAUUGGGUGAUUAAAUAGUGAAUUGAGACUAAGGAUUCAAUCCUCACAAACUCAUUUCCUGGACAAAUCCUCAUUCCUCCUCCAAAUGGAACAAAAUUGUAAGGUGGGAUUGAUGCUUGGUUAUCGAAUCGAGCUGGGUUGAACUUCCAUUGAUCUAUAAAGAUUUGAUCAUCCAUAUGGGUUGGACUUGCAACCCAAAACACCUAAUCAAUAAACAUGAGAAGUAGAUGAUGAGUCGAUAUUACUUGUGUUAACACAACCAUACAUACAAGUGGAAUAUACUAACACUCAAGAAUCUAUUAAUCAAAUGAAGAUAGAAGAAUUUCAUAACUUUUAUUCUUUUAUGAAACCUUAAUCAUAAGAUAGUUAAUUAUGACAUGGCCGACAUACUUGUUAUUCAAUAAAUAACCAAAAAAAAAAAAAAAACUUCAAAUCUUAUGAGUUGAUUGACUAGUUCAAUUCAUGACAUCCUCUAUGUAAUUUAACAAGAUCAUAAUCUAACAAUUUGAUAACUUGUAUGUUUGAUGAGCUCAUAAAAAUAAUGGAAACUUUGACUUACUUGCCACCCUUUAGGAAUCAAGUAGCCACCAUACUCAAAAUCUUUGAGGACUUUCCUGAAACCACCAAAUACGGGAGGGAUGAUUCUCAUAGUCUCCAUUGCUGCUUUCCAUGUGUGUUUCAUCUUAGAAAGAUCAUCCCAAUUGAGAAGCUCUCCAGAAACUUUGGUCUUUGCUAUUUCUUCAUGCUCUGCAGAUGAGGAAACCAAUUAUCACAAUACAUCAAUCCUUAAUUAACAUAUGAUCAAAUACAAUUGCAUCUAUAUAUGGCUAUAUAUAUAUAUAUAUGUAUGUAUGUAUGUAUAGACUCGUCUUUAUAUGCUACAGGAUAUCACAAUGGCUUUACCAUGGACAAUAGCAUCAUAAGCGACCGGGUCUUUCGCUAGGAACCAUAGCAGGAAAGUUAAAAGGCUUGUUGAAGUCUCAUGUCCAGCAAACAUGACAACAAUAGCAUUAUCCAAAAUCUCUUCUUCGGUCAUUGCGCUCGUCUCAUCUGGACUGCUUUGGUGCUGGAUGUUGAGCAUGCAAGUGAUGAAAUCAUCCUGUGGGGAAGCUUGCUCUAGCUCCAUUGCUGAUCUCUUCUCGUGUAUGAGCUCACUAACCACUCUUCUGAUCCUUCUGCUUGCUUUUAGGCCAUUACUGAACCGAGUGAAUGGCAGAUUUAUUGGUACAGACCAUAGGCCUUGUGUGAAGAGGUGAAAAUCAUGAAUAAGCAUCUCCCUAUCCUUCCCUUGUUCUAGACCAAAUAGAAGAGAGCAUAUGAUAUCAAACAUGAGCUGCUUCAUCAUCGGAUAAACCUGCAGGAUCAAGAAAAGUAGCACUACUUCCCUCAUUAUCAUUAAUACAAAAUUUGCUAAUUAAUGGGUCGAAUUAAGGCUUACCUUGACUGUUUGGUGGCCCUUCCAAUUCAUGUCAAGAUGUUGCCUAACCACUCCAUCAAUCUUCCCAACAUACUUCUUCAAGGAUUCAGGCUUCAAGAACAUCCCAAUUGCACCCCUUACUCUUCUGUGAUCUUCACCUCUCAACUCUGUCAAACUCUUAUCCCCCAAUAUCCUUCUAAUAGGCUGAGGUUGCUGGUUCGCCAGAAUCACCCCAUCAUUAGUGAAUAUGAACUUGUUUGCAGCUGCCCCACUGAGAAGAACAGUAGGAGUCCCAAAGAGGCUGAGCUUGGACACUGCCCCAUACUUCUGAAUUCUACUUUGAAGCCAUUUUUCACCUGUGUUUUUUCUCAGAGCAUGUAAGAAGCUGAAGCUUUGGCCUAUGAUGGGGAUGCCUAGAGAACCAGGAGGAAGCUUUUGAGAUACCCCCCUUCUUUCUCUAAGAAAAAGUAUGAUGAAGAUUGGAAGAAGGAAGAUCAACAGAAGGUUGAAGAUUGACAUUGCAGUACUGUUGAUGGCGGAAGGACAUGAGAGACAAAAAGUGGUGAAGCUUUUGCAGUCCAAAAAUGUUUAUUUAUUAUGAUAUCCUCUAUGCUUUCGAUUUGAAUCUGACCAUUUUUUAAUAUGAUGUAUAAUGUUUAUGUUAGUGUCCUCUUUUUAUUUAUUUAUUUUCUUGCUAUUGUUUUUGCUGUCUAUCACCUGUCUCUUUUGUUUGUUGCUAUAUUAUAUGUAUGUGUGUGUCCAUUUUUUAGUAUGAUAUAUAAUGUUUAUGUUAGUGUCCUCUUUUUAUUUAUUUAUUUAUUUGCUAUUGUUUUUGUUGUCUAUCACUUGUCUCUUUUGUUUGAUAUAUAUAUAUAUAUAUAUAACAUUCACUUUCUUACUUUUGAUAUGGUUAUAUCGUUUAUUAGUGAUGGUAGGAAACAUUUUUAUUUCAAAUAAAAAUGUUUUCUAAAUUUUAUUGAACUAACUAAUUUUUUUUUUUUAAAAUACUUUUUAUAUUAAAAAUGAUUCCUAAAAUCAUUAUCUAACCGAUUAUAAAAGAACUUUUAAUAAUGUUUCUGUUUAAAGUGUUUUAUUUAUAAAUAUUUUUAAAAUAAUUAUUCAUCAAGUAUUUCUUCGAUUUUACUGAUCCAACUGUUAAUGAAUUUCUUUAGAAGUAGUUCUCACAAUAGUGGUUUUAGUCAAAUAGCAUAUUUCUAUGGAAGCCAUUUUAUAAAGAAUUAAUUAUUAGAUAUAAAUAAAAUUUAUUUUCAUAAUAUUUUUGAUAAUAAAUUGAAUAAAAAUGAAUUUUCAAAGAAAUAUUUAUUAAAUAUUUUUUAGGAUUUUAAAAUUAUUUUGUUCAUACUAGCUUUAGCCAUAUUUCAAGAAUUUUUUUUUAUUUAAAAAAAGGUAAUUUAAACAAAAUUUAGAAAAAUUAAAUAUUGUGUACCACUUAUAGAUUAUGGAAGAAGCUACUAACAAUAUAUAUGCAAUGAACCCAUUUUAUUAUGGAGUCGUGUUUCGAAAUGUGAGGGUUUAUGAAUCAAAAGUGGAUAAUAUUCACACAAGAGGAAGAUGAUGUUUGUUUUUUUUUUUUUUAGUUUUUUGCUAAAAGUAAUUUACUUUCAAACUUUACAUUAUUUGCUUUUUUAUUUUUUUUAUGACUUAUUAUAAAAACAAAUAAUCUAAUAUAAUACUAUGAAGUAUCGUUUAGUUUCAACUUUUAUUUAUAAUUAAAUAAAAAAACAAAUACCAUUAAAGUAAAUUAUUUCAAAUAAUAUUAGAGUCGAUCAUCAAACUUAAUAUUAAAGUCUAUUUGUUUGGUCCAUUGUGAGGACAUAAAAAUAAAUUAUAUAGUUAAGAAGUAAUAUAUCAUCAUACUAUCAACAUUACUUGUUUAGUUAUUAUUAUAGUUUAAUUUUCAUCUCAAUGUCAACAAACAAAUAUUCACAUUUAAAUUAGUUAUUUCAAUGGAAAAAUCAGAAAUUAAUAUUUCUCAAUUUUUUUUCUUUUUUUUUUUGGCCCUUUCUAGUAUACAUGAUAAUCAAUUAAAAUUUCAAACUUUCCCAAAUUUCCUUCUUGUUUCUUUUCCUUUCUCUCAAACCAAAUAGACUAUGUAACCAAAGAAAAAAGGAAGAAACAUAUUCAUUCAUUAGGAGAGUGUUCACACUAAAGUUGAUCAUUGAUUUUUUCAACAUCUCAUGUUGAUAUCAUUCCUUAUCUUUAGACAAAUGGUCCCAAGCUUGGCUAAAGGAGGAGGGCCAUAUGCUUAGCAGGUUGGGACAAACACAUUUGCCUUGGUGAAUAUGCCCUCUUUGUCUUCACAUUUGGUCCCAAUUGUGUACUUUCCAACUCUUUGGAUGUGAAAUUUGUCAUCUAAUUCCUCUUAAAUAUUCUUCUUCCAUAACCAUCUUUUUUUUACUUGGAAAAUGUUAAGCAACCUAUUCAACAAUAAACUGGAUUAAAUAUAUAUGAUGAAAUUUAGGUUAUUGAAUAAGCAUACAAAUAAAUAAAAGUUAAGUAUACGGGUAAAAAUAUAUGAGAUUAAGAUAUAAAUAAUGAAACUUAAAAAUAUAUACGUGAUACCACUUGAUUAGUGAUAUUUUUUUCGAUAGGUAUUGAAAAAUUACACUUUUAUAUUGUGGUUAGACCCUUAUAAUUUUUCUCAUCUUUUACUAGGGCCGAUUAUAAUGAUCUUAUUAGAUACAAGAGCCACUAUAAUAAUUUACUAAUUAUAUUGAAGUUAAGUUACCAAUUAAUCUAAAAGCUUAUGUCAAUGUUAGACAACCGGUUAAAUAUUAUAUAUUGUACAGACUUGUUUAGAUUAAAACUCAAAACUUCAUCUUAUGAACAACUUUCUUUUGAGGUUUGCAUUAAACUUUUAAUUUAUCUAUGUUAAAUUUUAGUAAAGUCUCAAAGAAAAGAAAUCAAAUGUGAAGUAAAAUGAUUUUCUUAUAUAAUGAAAAUAGGAAAGAAAUUAAAUAUAAUUAAAAAUUAGUUAUGAAUUUAUAUAUUUUCAAAUAUUUAAUUUUAAUAAUAGUAGGUGAAAUGAUUUUUAAAAAGUAUGUAAAAAUAAUUUAUUAACUUUAAUUUUCUUUUAUUUUUCUUCAUUUUUAAAAAAAUUUCUUAUCAUGUACAUCAUAUUAACUUUAAAUUUAACAUCUCGCUUUAAGAACUUUGUUUUUAAACAACUUUUUUAAAGUUACAUGUGAGUUCAAUUACUUUGAUAAAAUUAUGACCAUGACUUCUUAGUUAUAUAAUAAGACUUCAAUGUAAUAAAUUAAAUACUUAAUCUUAUCAACUUUUUAUUAUUGUGAAGAAGGCUAAAUAUUCUCUUAGUUUACAUGUGACAAGUACUAGAACAUGGAGGAGAAUCCCAAGAAGGUAAAUGUUUUCACUUUAUAGCUAAAAACAACAUGGUGUGAAGAUUACAACAUUGCAAUGACUAAAAACAAUAUAUAUAGAUCUUAAAAUUACAUCUAUCUAUGGUGCAAUCUUUGGCUCAAGAUAGACUAAUAGUCCUUGUUGAGGUAUUGGCAUUGGAUCCCUAAUGAUAACAUCCUCACCGUCGAGUAGUUUCCAUCUAAAUUGGGUGAUUAAAUAGUGAAUUGAGACUAAGGAUUCAAUCCUCACAAAUUCAUAUCCUGGACAAAUCCUCAUUCCUCCUCCAAAUGGAACAAAAUUGUAAGGUGGGAUUGAUGUCUGGUUAUCGAAUCGAGCCGGGUUGAAUUUCCAUUGAUCUAUAAAGAUUUGAUCAUCCAUAUGGGUUGGACUUGCAGCCCAGA